GCUACAGUAAGGAGAGAAGAGAACUAAGGUAGAAAAUGAGUGGAGCCAACAAUGGUGGAGCUGCCAACGACCACGGACAAAACGGAUCAGGCCAGCCCCUGGUUUGUCUGCCCCCCUAGCAGGGCCGGCCCUGGCCCAAGGCAACCAAGGCGGUGGCCUUGGGUUUCAAAUUUUAGAGGGCCUCCAGCAGAUGGAAAAAGAAAAAAAUAUUAAGUUAGAACACGUCUGGGUUGGGCCUCAAAUUUUAGAGGCCUCAAAUUUUGAGGCCUAUAAGGGAUUUAAAAAAAAUAAAAUAAAAUAAGUUAGGGCAAGUUUCAGACGACCCAAUUUGCUUCGACACUCCGCAGGGCGCAGCCUCCGCUAUCGCCUCAGGUGACAAGGGCCUCACAUUUGAAAGUUCGCCUAGGGCCUCUCAAAAUAUUGGGAAUCUCAGGACCGGCCUGCUCCUAGAGGGUCGGUGAUCAAGACCAUCGACGCUAGCUCUUCCAACACUUAGGUUGAAUUACUUGGUUAUUAUCUUGUAUUUGUAUUACAUAUCUCGUGUAAUUACUUGCUAGAUAUGUAAUAUAUUCCAUGAACACCACAUAAUAAAAUAUCCACUGACAGAAAACGCUUUCACCUCUCUCUACCUUUCUCUCUCUAAGCUAGCCUUCAUUUUCUUCCUUCUGUACUCCCUGCUCCCUUCCAUGGGAGUGGGGAGUUGCUAGCUUGUCUCCCAUGGUAGCAAUAAACUCGGUGUGUUGGAAUAAGUGCGUUCCGUGGGUGUUUUUUAUGCCGCUUUUGUUUUUUGUUCGGUUAGAUAUGCUCAUGUUUGUUUCGUUUUCGGGUCGCCUGGGUAGAUCUGUUGUUUUUCUCCCGCUAGAUUUCUGAUCUAGGCUGGUUUGGGUUUUCCCCGCCUAGAUUUGAUCUUUUUCUUCUUGAUUGGAUCUUGUACUGGGUUUUGUGUGUCGGAACGCUUUGUGGUAGUAACUUUGGAGCAGUUACCAUACUAAUGGCCAAACCUUUCGGUCUCGCCAGUUUGCUGUGUUCUUCCAUGGUGGUUUCAUUUGCAGAGUGUUGAGCUCUGUUUCCUCCACAAAUUUGGAGCCUGUUCUUAAUUUAUCUGCUUUGCUUCAAGAUUUGUAUGUCUUUUCUGGCUUGGCUUUAUGCCUCUGCUAUCUUGACUUUAGACCUUUGUGCCUUUGAAUGACAAAAUAAAAUAAAAUAAAAUACAUAUGUCAUAUAUUUGCUUUGUGUGUGAUACUAUUAUUGUUCUUUUUCUGCCUGCAUAAAGUUUUGAUUUGGUAAUAGUUGAAGCAAAAAGAAAGAAAAAAAAGCUCUAAUUAGUACUUGCACUUGGAUCCUCUAUUGUACACGAGAGUGUUCUAAUUUAAUUUGACUGUUAAAAUUAAAAUAAUGUUAUGUUUUUUUGGGUUUUCUCAUGUAUUUAUUAGCGUGCAUGUCUGAUGAGGGGAUCCGAGUCUUCCUUUUCGUCUUUGUUAGGUGAGAGUGGGAGAUAAAAAUAGACGAGAAAGAAACUAAUUAUAUAAAGAUAACUCCUAAGUUCACUAAUUAUUUAACUGUUGGCAAAUCUCUUUUGUAUGUGUUGUCCGGAAAGAGGACUCGACGAUUAUUAGUUCCCAGGAAUCGGAAGUAAAAAUUUUGGUAGUGACUGACUUUAUUCCUUUAAUCACAGGAGAGGAAGGGGUCUCUGAGUACGGUUCUCUCUUGUAAUAGGGAGGAUGAGAGAUCAUUAAUUACUGCAAAAUAUUUAGGGGAAUGAAAAGAUUUGGUAAAUUAUUGGUUAUGAUAAAUUGAAUAGAUGAAGGGAGUACAGAAUAACUAAAAACAAUAAAAGAUGGAGGGACAAAGUCCAAGCAAGAACAAGAGUUUGAUUCUACUAAAAUUACUCCUGCUCUUAAGAAAGUAGAAAAAAAAAAAAAACAUCACUAUGAAAAAUGGCAACACUACCUUUUUUAUUUUUUAUGUAUGAACAAUUUACAAUGUCAUUAUGGCAUAGGCAGCGGGCAGCCCAAAAAAAAAAAAAAAAAAAAAAAAAAAAAAACCAAA